ensembl:lncRNA
CCAAUUUGCGAGUAAUCUGAAAAGGGAUGUAGUACCCAGUGAGUUUUGCAGCAGAAGCUGUGUGCUUAUCAGACUAGCUAAAGCGAUCAGUGUUAAUGUGGCAAGAGACCCGGAUACCGAACUCCCACGUGUGCUUUCCAACACAUUCAAGGGUAAUAUUACGCUGCUCAGAAUCAAGCUGUGAGAAUUAUGGGAUUCUUCUUAUUAAAAAGCAUUAUACAGGGUGUCUCCAUAUGUAGGGGGACCACGUCUGCCAGCACCACGUCACUCAUGGAUGUCCACUUCCAGUCUUUCUGAAUUUGUUAAUAAGUUCGGCAGCAGUGUCGUGUGUGUGUGUGUGUGUGUGACGUGUUCGCCACGUUUCCUGUUAAAGUCCAUCACAACCUUGGGACAGCUUCCAGAUCCAGCCAUGGGAACGAUUUCAAUAAAGGUGUACUUACAAGGCUAUCUGAAAAAUAUAUAUAUAUAUAUAUAUAUACACACACACUACCAGUCAAAAGUUUGUGGACACCCAACUGAAAAGUUUCUCUUGAUAUUAAAAACCUUUUGAUGACAUGAAUAACAUUUUAUUUCCCCCCAAAAAAUUGUUUGAAACAGUCGACUCGGAGCAAAGUAUUCCGAAAAGCAGACGCUGUACUGCAUUCGUUAAAAUCAAUGCACAAGCGGUCGAUUUUUAUCAUUCUUUAUUCUUCUGAAACAACGGUAAAAUUUCCAUUCUUCUCGAGCUAAAGUCCAUCAAAAUGUCCCCUAGGUUACAAUUUCAUGAAUAAGAUAGAUUAAAAGAGAAGAGGAAGGAUGAGCCCGCAGACCCCGACAGAUAACACGUUUCCCCCUAAAACCACGUCCUCAUCAGCUCUGCCAAAGGGACAUGGAAUUACACCUCCUGAUGAAUCUAACCGAAGUGGAGCGUUAAGUAAACGAAUUGCACAUCAGCACGAACAUUUCCUUUACCCUGAAAAAUCAGUUUUACAUAGAUAUGUGAAACAACCUGUGUACAUAAUUACAGUUUUACAGCAGCGCCGCACAGCAAACUUAUCCAACAUCAUUCAAACAUGUGGGGCAUUUCAUGACACUUUCCUGACCCCAACGUGAUUUGGUCAUAUUUGCUCAUGUAUCUCUAAAUUUCAGCAUCGGUAAAAUAAAAGUUUGGUGCGUCGGGUUCAUGAAGGACUUUCACACUACGGAUGCAGAUAUAGCACGCUGCCCGGUAGAGAUGGAAGUGAGCCUGGAGGAGUGUGUCGCUGGCUAGAGGAAGUGUGUGUGGUGGCAGGAACAUCCAGUCUGCACCCACAGCAAGCUGUUUGCAGUACAGGCCUUCAUUAAGCCACAGUCCACGGUCCCUCUGUCCAGAAAAACAGCUCCAGAGACCUG